ensembl:ncRNA C14F11.20 ncRNA
UCUUGCAUGGAAAGGUUGGAGAGUUUUGGGCGUGGUUUUAACCGCUCUCACCUUCGUCUCGAAUCUUCGCCGACCCCACCGACGACUUUUUUGGUAAAUACCACGUGAACAGAGUUAGAAUGCGAAAAGAGGGGCGCAAUCAAAAGGAGGUCUGCCAAUGUUGACUGUGUUUCUCU